AGGUGUUAAUUUUCGUGUUUUUAAGAACUGAGCAAAUGUACUGUUCUUGUAGUCUUGGUAUUCAUCGGGGUGCUGUUCAUACUCCAAACAAAAUGUCAAGAAUUUCAUUAGCAUUCGUUUUUCCACCAUCGCAAGCUGCCUGCUGUUGAAGACAUCAGCUCUAGAACAAGGUACCUGUUCUACUUUUCCUUCUCGAAAGGCAAGAAUUCGUGUUGCAUUUUUGAACUCUGCGUAUCUGCUAACGUUAGACUUAAUAAGAAGUUCAAUUAAGAGACCUCGGGAGUAAAGCAGCUUAGACACUAAAUCAAUAUUAAAUCUUCUGCCUUCUCUAACGAUCUGGGAAUAUGUGAUUUUCUUUGGUUCCUGGGCAGAAAUUUCUGAGAGUGCAGCUUCAGUUUUUCCCGAUUCCCGAGUGGAUUCUCCUGAAGCUGAAUCAUGAGAACUUUCAUUCUCAGCAUUUAUUUCUGUAACAUUCCCUUCUGCUGCACUUGCUGGAUCCACGCUCGUAGCUUUCUCUGAUUCCAAGUUCUCAGCCCCUGGUACAGCGCUCUCCAGUGGUGAACAUUCUUUUUCUGGUUCUUCAGCAACCUCCUCAGCAACAGAGGCUCCAUAGGCAGGCAACCUUGCCAAUGCACCGGCUUCUUCAACAUCUUCGGCUGCAUCCUGAUCGUCAAAACAGAAAGCUUCUACAUGUUGAAUAGUUUUACCCUUCUUGUUAAGAGAAAUAACUUCUUCAUUCUCAAGGAUCAGUUUUCUCCAGUCUUCACAUUCAUCCUUGAUAUCCGUAUUUUGCUGAUUUUCUUUAAUCCAGGACAAUAAUCCUGAAAAACUAAAACUGGCCCAGUUUCCACCAUAGUAAUUUCGCGAAUCAACAUGAAGAACCCUCUGGCCACUUCUGGCACAUGCUGCUGCAAUAAUAGAUUCAGGCAGACCGGUCCCUAUCACCACCACAUCAAACUCGGAAGGCAGGUUGUCCGC
rnacentral:lncRNA from 1 species